UCUUUUUGGCUGGAAACGUCGUGAAGCCGAACCCUCCCUUCUCAAGAAACCGUCUCUUUUCCUUUUCAUUGUUCUUCUUCCCAAAAUCAAUCUCUGUAAUCCCAUUUCUGCAAUAAUCUAUCUGUUCUUGAUUUCGAGAACCAAAAUAAAAACCCUAAAAGUUAUAUUCAGCGUCGUCGCUUUGAUUUCGUCGAUUGGCGAUGGGGCCGGGCGUGUUCUUGUCUGGCGCUGCAAGACAGGCCGAGAUUCUCAGAAAAGAUGGAAAUCACUAUUUCCAGAAGGGCCGGAUUGGAGCCGCCAUUGAAGCCUAUACCGAGGCGAUUACGCUAUGUCCGAAUGUUCCUGUGUAUUUGACGAACCGUGCUUUGUGUCAUCGCAAGCGGAAUGAUUGGAAGAAGGUGGAGGAGGACUGUCGGAGAGCUAUUCAGCUCGACAACAAUUCUGUCAAGGCACAUUACAUGGUAGGAUUAGCAUUAAUACAAAAUAAAGACUAUCCUGAAGGAAUCAAGCAUUUGGAGAAGGCUUUGGAUCUUGGUAGAGGUGCAAAUCAAAAGAGUUAUAUGGUAGAGGAGAUAUGGCAGGAGCUUGCAAAUGCAAAAUACAGGGAGUGGGAACAAGCAUCCACCAAACGUUCAUGGGAAUUGCAGACCUUGAAAGAGGCUUGUGAGGCUGCCCUUGAACAAAAAUACUUCCUUGACCAGUCUGAACCAGAAGGGUUCGUAGAUCAAGCCGAAAGCGCUCAUCGGGAACAAUUAAACUCUCUAAGAAGUGUGUUUGAAAACUAUGCCGUGGCUGAUGCGCCAUCUGAGGUCCCCGAUCAUCUUUGUUGUAAAAUUACGCUCGAUAUUCUUCGUGAUCCCGUUAUUACUCCGAGCGGGGUUACAUAUGAGAGAGCAGUGAUCCUCGACCAUUUUCGAAAGGUUGGUAACUUCGAUCCCAUAACGCGGGAGCUACUCGACGAGUCUCAGCUAGUACCGAACUUAGCCAUAAAGGAAGCUGUACAAGCAUUUCUAGAUAAACAUGGAUGGGCUUACAAUUCAAAUUAAGCAUACAUGAGGUCCUGUCUUUUGAUUUUCUGUUGUGCAAUUUGUUACCAUGGCGGGAAUGUCGAUAGAUUUAUGUUCAUCCUUCUUUGGUUCUUCAAGAGUGUUAUUAAUCGAGCACAAGGGUAAUGAUUAAGCUAUACCACUCAAAGGUUAGUUUAGCAUGCUUUCUACUUGAUGUUUCUUUUAUGCUCGAGCGCAACUAACAAAGAACAAAAAUUUAAAUCUCGACCUCAAAAGAACUAUUACA